CCCAAUGCCAGACCCAAGCAGAGCCAGCACAGGGUGCACUGGGCAGAACCGAUCUACAGCCAUAACAUCAAUGAGAGGGAGGUGGCGAAAGCGCCAGACCUUACUGCUGUGGAGCCUGCCCUGCGGGAUUUGGGAGCCGGCGACGGCCAUGACCUGCAGCACAUCAGUGACCAGGAGAUGCCCAAAGGUCUUGCUUCUGACCGUCCAAGGGCAAGCACACUCUUCCUGAGAAAGUAUCAAAUGAGUGUGCAAGAAAAGAGGAGAAGCUUUCGCAUAUAUUCUGUAAGUAAGCUUUUGAAAAGUUAAGAAAUUAAUUGUUUAAAUUAAAAGUCUAUCAGUCAUGAUUCCUUAGAAAUAUAACA
rnacentral:lncRNA from 1 species